UACCAGCUCCUCGAGUGGUGGGGAUAAUUAUUGGGCUUAAAGCGUCCGUAGCCGGCUUACUAAGUCUUCCGUUAAAACCAACGGCUUAAUCGUUGGACUGCAGGAGAUACUGCUAGGCUAGGGGGCGGGAGAGGCCGACGGUAUUCUUGGGGUAGGGGUGAAAUCCUAUAAUCCUAAGAGGACCACCAGUGGCGAAGGCGGUCGGCUAGAACGCGCUCGACGGUGAUGGACGAAAGCUGGGGGAGCGAACCGGAUUAGAUACCCGGGUAGUCCCAGCUGUAAACGAUGCGGGCUAGGUGUUGAGGCGGAUACGAGCCGCUUCAGUGCCGCAGGGAAACCGUUAAGCCCGCCGCCUGGGAAGUACGGUCGCAAGGCUGAAACUUAAAGGAAUUGGCGGGGGAGCGACCACAAGGCGUGAAGCUUGCGGUUU
rnacentral:rRNA from 1 species